GUGUUAGGCACUCAAUGCAUCCUAGGUACUCCUAGGGAACCCUUUUCACAAAUUGUUGCAAAAGUUAUUGUUUAUGAAAAUAUUUAUUGUGCAAACAUUGAUUGGGAGGAUGAGAGAAGAAUAUACAAUUUUAUUAUUUUUGUGUUUGGAUGGAAAGAUCCAUUGCCUACGUACCUUUACAGGAUCAAAACCUCGUAGUUCG
rnacentral:lncRNA from 1 species